AUGCGAGCGCGGAGAGUUCGGAACGGCCGUCCGGCAGGCGGAACCGAGGCGGCGCGGGCGCGGCCGCCAAUCCGCGACCCUGGUCGGCCCGCGCCCCUUCCCUCCCCCCACCCCAACAUCGCCGCUCCCCUCCUCCGACGUCGGCCCCCGGCGGCCACGCACGCAGAGGCGCGUGACGUCACGGCGACGCCCGCACGCGGGGGGGCGGGGACAACGGCGCAGGGGAGGGACCGCACAAGGCCCAGCCUGCCGCCGCGGCCCGGCGCCCGCGGCCCGCACGACAGGAGCAGGACGGGAGGCAGGCCGGAGCCGCGGGGCCGGGGCCACGCUCACCCGCGCGGACUGCGGCCGUGUCAGCUCCCGCUCGGGGCGGCUCCCCCUGAGGCACUGGGCCGGGCUUCCGGCCGACGAGCGCGCAGCGUACGGCCACCCUGCUGCGUGGGGACGGCGCGGAGGGCGGGAUCCACGUUUCCGGGUUUGGGGAGGCGCCGCGGCGCGCGAGGGGGCGGGGCCACCGAGGGGGCGGGGCCCGGCUGGGAGCGGCCGAGGGGGCGGGGCCGGGCGGCUUCCCGGCAGGCGGUAAGCUCCCGAGCUGCGUUGGAACGGGCAGGUUCCGCGGGGAGGGGCAGGCACGGGCAUCGUUUGCAGGGAGUCAUCGGCCCUCAGGAGAGAGAGCUGCGCACUGAGGAGCCUCUCUGGGGAGAAAACAGCCAGGCUCCUGGCCCUAAACUCUCCGCCUUCAUGCUCGCGUCCCUGCGCCGGGAGUUCCUGUGGUUGAGUCCCUCAGUCGUGUCCGACUCUCUGCGACCCCGUGGCCUGCGGCCCGCCAGGAUCCUCUGUCCACAGGAUUUCCCAGUUCUACCAGUUUCUUGCUACCAACCCAUCUCCCUCCACCCUCGUGCACACACGAUCAGUCAUGUAAUCCCAUGGACUUCGGCCCGCCAGACUCCUCUGUCCAUGGAUUUUUCCAGGCAAGAAUACUGGAGUGGGUUGCCAUUUCCUUCUCCUACAAUUUUCAUCUUGUUAGUGAAAAAUCAGCAUUUAGUUUAUCUUUCUAUUACUUUUAAAAAGUUACCAUAUGCGGUCAUCUGA
ensembl:lncRNA